UAACACGUAGGGGGCAAGCGUUGUCCGGAUUUAUUGGGCGUAAAGGGCUCGUAGGCUGUUCAGUAAGUCAGGUGUGAAAACUCGAGGCUCAACCUCGAGACGCCACUUGAUACUGCUGUGACUUGAGUUCGGUAGAGGAGUGUGGAAUUCCUAGUGUAGCGGUGAAAUGCGCAGAUAUUAGGAGGAACACCAACGGCGAAGGCAGCACUCUGGGCCGAUACUGACGCUGAGGAGCGAAAGCGUGGGGAGCGAACAGGAUUAGAUACCCUGGUAGUCCACGCCGUAAACGUUGGGCACUAGAUGUGGGAUCCAAUCAACGGAUUCCGUGUCGCAGCUAACGCAUUAAGUGCCCCGCCUGGGGAGUACGGCCGCAAGGCUA
rnacentral:rRNA from 1 species